rnacentral:rRNA from 1 species
AUUAAUAAAUUUAUUUAUUUAAUAUUAAAUUUUUAUUUUUUUAAAAAAAAUAUUUUUUUUUUUUUUAUUUUUUUAGAUAAAAUUUUAUUAUAAUUAUAGUUAAUUAGUAUAGAGAUAGAAUAUUGAAAUAUACUGAAAAUAAUAAUUAUUAAAAGAAAAUUUAAUUUAUUGUAACUUGUGUAUCAGGGUUUAUUAAAUAAUAAUUAAUUAAUUUAAUAUUCUCGAAUUUAAAAGAGCUAAGAAAUUAUUAAUUUUAUUGUAGAAUAAAUAUUUAAAAUAUUUUUUUAGUAAUGAAAUGUUAUUCGUUUUUAAAUUUAUCUAGUUUUUUAAGAAAUAAAUUUAAUUUAGUUAUUUAUUAAAUAAAUUAAUAAUUUUAUAUUAAAAUAAAAUAAAUAAUUAAUAUUUUAAGGGAUAAGCUUUAAAAUAAAUUUUUAUAAAUAAUAAAUUGAUAUUAUAAGAUUUAUAGGAAUAGAAAUAUUUAUUAAAUAUAGUGUGUUAUAACAAAUUUUAUAAAAUUUAUAAUUUUUUUUUAUUUUAAUUUAUUUAUUAAAAUAAUUAAUUUAAUAAUUUAAUUAAUGAAAUAAUGAUAUAAUUAGUAUAAUUUGAUGUUGAUUAAAUUUUAUAAAUUUAAGGUUAAGUUAAGGAAUUCGGCAAUUAUUUUUUUCGCCUGUUUAUUAAAAACAUGUCUUUUUGAUAAUAAUUUAAAGUCCGACCUGCCCAAUGAUUGAAAAUUAAAUGGCCGCGAUAUUUUGAUCGUGCAAAGGUAGCAUAAUAAUUAGUUUUUUAAUUAAGAACUGGAAUGAAAGGUUAAACGAAAGAAAGACUGUCUCAAUUUAAAUUGAAUUAAAAUUUUAUUUUUAAGUAAAAAAGCUUAAAUAUCUUUAAAAGACGAGAAGACCCUAUAGAGUUUUAUAAUUAUAGGUUUAUUUUUUAUUUUAAGAAUUUAAUUUAAAAAUAUUUUUAUAAUUAUUUAAUUGGGGUGAUUAAAAAAUUUAAAUAACUUUUUUUAUUAUUAAAACAUUAAUUUAUGAAAAAAUGAUCCAUAAUUUAUGAUUAAAAGAUUAAAUUACCUUAGGGAUAACAGCGUAAUUUUUUUUGAGAGUUCUAAUCGAAAAAAAAGUUUGCGACCUCGAUGUUGGAUUAAAAUUAACUUUUGGUGCAGAAGUUAAAAAGUUAGGUCUGUUCGACCUUUAAAAUUUUACAUGAUCUGAGUUUAAACCGGUGUAAGCCAGGUUGGUUUCUAUCUUUAAAUAGUUUUAAUAUUUUAGUACGAAAGGAUUAAAUAUUGAUAAUAAUUAUUUAAUUUUGAAUAUUAAUAAAU